rnacentral:rRNA from 1 species
AGGGAUUGCCCUAGUAACGGCGAGUGAAGCGGCAACAGCUCAAAUUUGAAAUCUGGCUCUUUUAGAGUCCGAGUUGUAAUUUGCAGAGGGCGCUUUGGCUUUGGCAGCGGUCCAAGUUCCUUGGAACAGGACGUCACAGAGGGUGAGAAUCCCGUACGUGGUCGCUGGCUAUUGCCGUGUAAAGCCCCUUCGACGAGUCGAGUUGUUUGGGAAUGCAGCUCUAAAUGGGAGGUACAUUUCUUCUAAAGCUAAAUAUUGGCCAGAGACCGAUAGCGCACAAGUAGAGUGAUCGAAAGAUGAAAAGCACUUUGGAAAGAGAGUCAAACAGCACGUGAAAUUGUUAAAAGGGAAGCGCUUGCAGCCAGACUUGCUUACAGUUGCUCAUCCGGGCUUUUGCCCGGUGCACUCUUCUGUAGGCAGGCCAGCAUCAGUUUGGGCGGUAGGAUAAAGGUCUCUGUCACGUACCUCCUUUCGGGGAGGCCUUAUAGGGGAGACGACAUACUACCAGCCUGGACUGAGGUCCGCGCAUCUGCUAGGAUGCUGGCGUAAUGGCUGUAAGCGGCCCGUCUUGAAACACGGACCAAGGAGUCUAACAUCUAUGCGAGUGUUUGGGUGUCAAGCCCGAGCGCGUAAUGAAAGUGAACGGAGGUGGGAACCCGCAAGGGUGCACCAUCGACCGAUCCUGAUGUCUUCGGAAGGAUUU